UCCACAAGCAUAGAGUCUGCUUUCUAUGCAAGAUUGAGACGAAGAUUAAUUUUAUCUGAAAAGAGAAAUGGAAGGGGUACGAUAUUGACAUAUUAAAAAAAUAUUUUUCUUUAAAAAACUCAUAAUUAGUAUGUAACCUAAUAAUUAGUAUGUAACCUAGGCCAAACAAGAACAAGAGAUGAUGAGCCAUUUGAAAGGAGUAUUCGACGUAGACAAUAUAUCAUUAAUGAUGAAAGUAGAAAACAACGUAAGUGUGGACAAGCAAGAGUCAGAGUUGUUGUUCUUUUCGUCUACUCAAUACUCAGUCUACACUCCCAUUUGAGCCAACUCCUCCAAGAAGCCGAUAAAGGUAAUUGUAAAUGUGCACACAGAGAUGGAUGGAGAGAGAUUAAGAGAGGAAUUCUAGGACUGUCAAACUACUACCAUGUCAAAUCAUCACCCACCUUCAACCUUGCCUCUUGACACCUUCAUAUACUGCAAGAACCACUACCAGUACAGGCCGACAACUGUUCACAGCUGCUUAUGCUUCACUGUCAUCAUUCUUUUGAACCCUUGGAAGGGUUUUUCACUUACCAAAAAAAAGGAAAGAAGAUAAGGUUUUAGUCAAUAGGCUUUCUAUGUUGCUCCUAUGGUCAUAAGGCUAAUCUUCAUUUUCCAGUAUUCAAACUAACAUUAUUAUUGUUGUGUGCUGCUAUACUAAGGCCUGGUGCUGCUGUUUGUGAAAUUUUUUUGU